UUUACUAAAAAUAGUUUUUAUGUUUUUCAUGAAAAAAAAUCGUCACUAAUCAAUUGCGCUUCAAUUCAUUUGUUUACCAUUUUAUUGUUAGGUGCAUAUGUUUUUGCGCUUUAAUGCUUAAAGCUGGCAAUGUAAAGUUCUUAUUUCGAAACUUUGCAAGAAAGUCCAGUUUUUUUUUACUUACAUUUUGUUCCUUAUAUGUUUGAUUUUGCAAUUUCGUUGCUUAUAUAUAUACAUAAAUACAUGUAUCUACAUAUGUACAAUAUUUAUGUAUGUACCUGUAAUAUAUGUGCAUAUGUAUUUGUGCGGUUGUUGGCAUCAAUUACAUUGCAAUUAAAACCAAAUUGAAUAUUUAACCAGUACGAGUACACACCAAAUUGGUUAUCACCUGCAAAUUGUCUUCUUUUUUCUCUCUCUUUUUUUCCCCAUUUUUUUUGUCUCCUCCCAUAUAAAUGCCUUGCAGAUGGUUAUGUGGUUGCGCCUGGUGGUCAAUGCUGUUUUGCUAAACAGUGGUUGUGAAGCAAAGAAGGAGAGCUAAAAAAAAUUAAAAAAAAAAAAUACAAAACUAAAUAAAAUGUCCUUAAUUAACCUACAGUUCAUACCAUGAAUCAUACACGAAUUCGCUCGGCUAAUUCAAGCAUAAUGCGUAUAACACUUACCCACCAACCAACCAACCAACCAACACUCCCACUAACGCACAUCCCACAACUUUACCGGCUUCAUUAAUCUUCCAACAACUCGGCACCAAUCCAACAUCUCAAGCAGCCGCUGUUCCAUGUGCAAAAUGUGCCAAAAUUUUUAUAUAUGAAAAUCGGUAUUUUCUGUAUUUCGCAACCUUGAAGCGCUCGAAGUUUAAAUGUGUAUAAGCAUAGUGCAGAAAAAAAGAGAAAAAGAAAUGAAGGACCCCAUAUAUACAAACACUUGCAACUCCAUCAGAGAGCUUUGUACAGGAAUGAGCACACACACACACAGACACAUAGACCUGCUGUAGCAAAAGCACGCCAUUGAGUGAAGACGGAAGUGAACAAACAAAAACUAAAAAACGGAAGAUUGUAAACGAACUCUUUUAAGCUGAGAAACACUUUCGCAAAGAAAAAUUCAAUAAAAUUGAAUUUCGAUUUCUUUUAUACAUACAUACAUACGAAUGUAAACAAAAAGUUAUUAUAAGGAAACAUUGACAAACAAUGAAAGAAAAAACGAUUUGCUAAUUUUUAUUUCUUCUCCCCACAUUCAUGUGGGAACGCACACCCGAACAUAAAUAUAUGCAUAAUACUUAUACAUCUACAUAAAUUAACCGAAAAUCGAAUCGAAAGAACCAAAAAUCGUACACUAAAUUUGGCGCUCCCAAAACAAAGUAAAAGCAAAUAUCGAACUUCAUCAGCGCAUCAUCACAAAAGCCACUAAAGCUAAAAGCGUGUAAGCGUCUAGCUGAAAAUGACACUGAUCAACAAAAUCAUCCACCCAAAAAUAUGCAUGGGCAUUUAAACAGAUAUCAUUUGCACCCCCGAUGCCACGAACAACAACAACAAUAACUAGUUGUGAAACGCAUACAUACAAGCAUACAUAAGAGUAACACGAACAAAUUUUACGACGUCAAAGUCAAGGCCAACUUCAACGUGUGUUAACUGUCUUGCAUACAUACUUUACAUGCAAACAUAACAAAUACUAUUAUUUUUAAUUUAUAUUUACUAUAUACAUACAUACAUGUAUGUAUUUAACUCUACUACGAUUGUAUGUG